rnacentral:rRNA from 1 species
AUACAGAGGGUGCGAGCGUUAAUCGGAAUUACUGGGCGUAAAGCGCGCGUAGGCGGUUAUUUAAGUCAGAUGUGAAAUCCCUGGGCUCAACCUAGGAACUGCAUCUGAAACUGGGUAACUAGAGUUUAGGAGAGGGGAGUAGAAUUUCGGGUGUAGCGGUGAAAUGCAUAGAGAUCCGAAGGAAUACCAGUGGCGAAGGCGACUCCCUGGCCUAGAACUGACGCUGAGGUGCGAAAGCGUGGGUAGCAAACGGGAUUAGAAACCCGAGUAGUCC